rnacentral:rRNA from 1 species
UUGGCUCAGAAGCAGCCACCAUUUAAAGAGUGCGUAAUAGCUCACUGGUCGAGAGACGCUGCGCCGAAAAUGUCCGGGGCUCAAGCACGGAACCGAAGCUAUGGCAUGAUAGCAAUAUCAUGGGUAGGGGAGCGUUCUUAUAAGGAAGAAGCAUGACCGGAAGGACAUGUGGACGAAUAAGAAGUGAGAAUGCCGGUAUGAGUAUCGAAAAGAAAGGUGAGAAUCCUUUCCACCGAAAGCCCGAGGGUUCCUGAGCAACGAUCGUCGACUCAGGGUAAGUCGGGACCUAAGCCGAGGCGAGAAGCGUAGGCGAUGGACAACAGGUUGAAAUUCCUGUACCGGAUCAAGUCGAUCGAGCGAAGGAGCGACGCAGGAGGGCACAUGAUCGCGCGGCUGGAAGAGCGCGUCCAAGUGCGUAUGUUGCAGCAGAGGAAAACCCCUGCAGCUAAAAGCAGAGACAUGAUGGGGAGUUAAAGGAAACUUUGACGAACUCAUGGAUCCCACACUGCCAAGAAAAACUUCUAGCGAGACAAGAUCCGCCCGUACCGUAAACCGACACAGGUAGGCGGGGAGAGAAUCCUAAGGUGCGCGGGAAAACCCUCGUUAAGGAACUCGGCAAAUUGCAUCCGUAACCUAGGGAGAAGGAUGGCCCCCGGUCAGUGAAGAGCAGAAACGCUCAGAGCUAAAAGGGGCGGCAGAAAAGAGGCCCAAGCAACUGUUUACCAAAAACACAGGUGCCUGCGAAAGCGAAAGCUGAAGUAUAGGUGCUGACGCCUGCCCGGUGCCGGAAGGUUAAGGAGAGAAGUUAGCGAAAGCGAAGCAUCGAACUGAAGCCCCGGUGAACGGCGGCCGUAACUAUAACGGUCCUAAGGUAGCGAAAUUCCUUGUCGGGUAAGUUCCGACCCGCAUGAAAGGCGUAAUGAUUUGGGCACUGUCUCAACGAGGGGCCCGGUGAAAUUGAAAUACCUGUGAAGAUGCAGGUUACCCGCGACUGGACAGAAAGACCCCAUGGAGCUUCACUGCAGCUUGAGAUUGAAUCCCGGUGACAGAUGCACAGGAUAGGUGGGAGGCGCCGAAGCAUUGCCCUAGGGCGGUGCGGAGCCGAUGUUGGGAUACCACCCUUCUGUUGCUGAGAUUCUAACGCGAGGAGUAACGACCCUGCGGACCCUCUCAGGCAGGCGGUUUGACUGGGGCGGUCGCCUCCGAAAGAGUAACGGAGGCGCCCAAAGGUUCCCUCAGGCCGGACAGAAACCGGCCGAAGAGUGCAAAGGCAGAAGGGAGCUUGACUGCGAGACCAACAAGUCGAGCAGGGACGAAAGUCGGGCUUAGUGAUCCGGUGGUACCGAGUGGAAGGGCCAUCGCUCAACGGAUAAAAGCUACCCUGGGGAUAACAGGCUAAUCUCUCCCAAGAGUCCAUAUCGACGGGGAGGUUUGGCACCUCGAUGUCGGCUCAUCACAUCCUGGGGCUGAAGUAGGUCCCAAGGGUUGGGCUGUUCGCCCAUUAAAGUGGUACGCGAGCUGGGUUCAAAACGUCGUGAGACAGUUUGGUUCAUAUCCAUCGCGGGCGCAAGAAGUUUGAGAGGAGCUGCUCCUAGUACGAGAGGACCGGAGUGGACGGAUCAACGGUGUCCCAGUUGUCACGCCAGUGGCACGGCUGGAAAGCCGCAUCCGGGAAGGAUAAACGCUGAAAGCAUCUAAGCGCGAAGCCAACCUCAAGAUGAGACUUCUCAUCAGCAAUGAGUAAGACCCCUUACAGACGAUGAGGUAGAUAGGUUAUGAGUGGAAGAGCCGCAAGGCUUGGAGCGACAUAAAACUAAUAGGUCGAGGUCUUAACUUA